GGCCGCGGGAUUGUGCCAGCAGGCCGCGGUAACACCGGCGGCCCGAGUGGUAACCGCUUUUAUUGGGUCUAAAGGGUCUGUAGCCGGCCAAGUAAGUCCCUUGGGAAAUCUGGCAGCUUAACUGUCAGGCUGCUAGGGGAUACUGCUGGGCUUGGGACCGGGAGAGGUGAGAGGUACCUUGGGGGUAGGGGUGAAAUCUUGUGAUCCUCGGGGGACCACCAGUGGCGAAGGCGUCUCACCAGAACGGGUCCGACGGUAAGGGACGAAAGCUAGGGGCACGAACCGGAUUAGAUACCCGGGUAGUCCUAGCCGUAAACGAUGCUCGCUAGGUGUCAGUCACGGUGCGACCGUGAUUGGUGCCGUAGGGAAGCCGUGAAGCGAGCCACCUGGGAAGUAUGGCCGCAAGGCUGAAACUUAAAGGAAUUGGCGGGGGAGCACUACAACGGGUGGAGCCUGCGGUUUAAUUGGAUUCAACGCCGGAAAUCUCACCGGGGGCGACAGCAAUAUGAAGGUCAGGCUGAAGACUUACCGAUUAGCUGAGAGGUGGUGCAUGGCCGUCGUCAGUUCGUACUGUGAAGCAUCCUGUUAAGUCAGGCAACGAGCGAGACCCACGUCCACAG
rnacentral:rRNA from 1 species